UACGUAGGGUCCGAGCGUUGUCCGGAAUUAUUGGGCGUAAAGGGCUCGUAGGCGGUUUGUCGCGUCGGGAGUGAAAACCUACAGCUUAACUGUGGGCUUGCUUUCGAUACGGGCAGACUUGAGGCAUGCAGGGGAGAACGGAAUUCCUGGUGUAGCGGUGAAUGCGCAGAUAUCAGGAAGAACACCCGUGGCUAAGGCGGCUCUCUAGUACGGUACUGACGCUGAGACGCAAAGCGUGGGGAGCGAACAGG
rnacentral:rRNA from 1 species